GGAGGGUGCAAGCGUUGUCCGGAAUUAUUGGGUGUAAAGGGUGCGCAGGCGUCCCGACAAGUUUUCGGUGAAAUCUUCCGGCUCAACCGGGGACGUGCCGGAAAAACUGUCGGGAUUGAGUUCAGAAGAGGUUGGUGGAAUUCGUGGUGUAGCGGUGAAAUGCAUAGAGAUCACGAAGAACACCCGUGGUGAAAACGGCCAACUGGUCUGACACUGACGCUGAGGCACGAGAGCGUGGGUAGCGAACAGGAUUAGAUACCCUGGUAGUCCACGCCGUAAACGAUGUAUGCUAGAUGUCGGCUCUUCGGAGCCGGUGUCGUAGUUAACGCGCUAAGCAUACCACCUGGGGAGUACGUUCGCAAGAAUG
rnacentral:rRNA from 1 species